CUGGCGGGACCCCUCAACACAUGCAAGUCGAACGAGAAAGGGACUUCGGUCCUGAGUAGAGUGGCGCACGGGUGAGUAACGCGUAGGUAAUCUACCUCUGCAUCUGGGAUAACACUUCGAAAGGGGUGCUAAUACCGGAUACACUUAUCAAUCGCAAGGUUGAUAAGGAAAGGAGACCUCUCCUUGGAAGUUUCUGUGUAGAGAUGAGCCUGCGUCCCAUUAGCUAGUUGGCAGGGUAAUGGCCUACCAAGGCGACGAUGGGUAGCGGGUCUGAGAGGAUGAUCCGCCACACUGGAACUGAAACACGGACCAGACUCCUACGGGAGGCAGCAGUGAGGAAUAUUGGACAAUGGGCGCAAGCCUGAUCCAGCGACGCCGCGUGAGUGAUGAAGGCCUUUUGGGUCGUAAAGCUCUGU
rnacentral:rRNA from 1 species